UAGUCCACGCCGUAAACGAUGAGAACUAGCCGUUGGACUCCUUGAGGGUUUGGUGGCGCAGCUAACGCGAUAAGUUCUCCGCCUGGGGAGUACGGCCGCAAGGUUAAAACUCAAAUGAAUUGACGGGGACCCGCACAAGCGGUGGAGCAUGUUGUUUAAUUCGAUGCAACGCGAAGAACCUUACCCACUCUUGACAUCCUCGGAACUUGUCAGAGACGACUUGGUGCCUUCGGGAACCGAGAGACAGGUGCUGCAUGGCUGUCGUCAGCUCGUGUCGUGAGAUGUUGGGUUAAGUCCCGUAACGAGCGCAACCCUUGUCCCUAUUUGCCAGCACGUAAAGGUGGGAACUUUAGGGAGACUGCCGGUGACAAACCGGAGGAAGGUGGGGAUGAUGUCAAGUCAUCAUGGCCCUUACGAGUGGGGGCUACAAACGUGCUACAAUGGGGCGGGCACAAAGGGGCAGCGACCCCGCGA
rnacentral:rRNA from 1 species